UCCGCCGGCCUCAUCGGAGAGAGUUGCAGUUCCCCCUGGGCCUGUGUGGACUAGGAGCACAACCCGGCGUCCGGCUGGCAGGAGAGGAAAGCGGGGACUCCUUCAGGUUUCCAAAGAGGUCCGAGCGGACUGCGUUAAAAGAAAAGGUGAAUGUGUAAUUAGUACCACAUGUUCUUGGUCAGAAAGCUUCUUUAUCCUUGGUUUAUGUCAGCAGAAGUUUGAAUUGAGGAGAAGAACAGGCAACACUGUACUGCUUGGGUUAAGGUGAAGACGGACGCACAAACUCCCUCUGCCCUCAAGAAUUUUUGAGAUAAAAAUGUGUUCCAUCAUAUCAGCUUGAAUCCGGACUUUGUGCAGCUCUUCUUUCCCAGAGGACACCUGUAAAAGCACCCAUAGCAGUCAGGAAUAAGUCUACAGAGAAACUAGAGCUGAUUUUAAAUCCUCUAUUCCUUUAGCCUUCAAGAGUGGAGGCAGCUCAUGUUUUAAAGGCAAGGCUGUGCUCUGUCCCAUGAUGACAGAUCCAGUGGAGUGAAAUUAAAACAGUCUGUGCUGAGAGCUGGUUGAGAACAUAGAUGAAAAAUGCCUUUUUCCUGUGGAAAUUUUGAAAUAUGAUGACCAUGUCACUAACACUGUCUGGAACAAGUCAGAAGAAGGAAGGAUAACUCAGUGAGAAUGUGUAAAAGCUAUCGUGUUGUGUUUGUUUAUCUUGCCUUCAGACAAAGUUGGUAAUGAUGUGGGAAGGUGCUCUGAGAGAUUUCCUCUUGUGAACUUUCUCCCUGGACUGGUAGCUUAAGAACAAACCAGUUAAAGAAUUAAGUGUUGGGGGCGGGGAGAUUUUUCCAUAGUCACAGUACUUAAAGUGAAUGUAAAUCUUUCUGAACAUCCUUUUACAGAAAUGCUUUUCAUAUAAAAUACACACACACACACACACAAAUAAAAUUUUUAUAUAUAUAUGUGUGUGUGUGCA
rnacentral:lncRNA from 1 species